UACGUAGGGUGCAAGCGUUGUCCGGAAUUAUUGGGCGUAAAGAGCUCGUAGGCGGUUCGUCACGUCGGCUGUGAAAAACCUGAGGCUCAACCUCAGGCCUGCAGUCGAUACGGGCGGACUUGAGUACUGCAGGGGGAGACUGGAAUUCCUGGUGUAGCGGUGAAAAUGCGCAGAUAUCAGGAGGGAAACACCCGGUGGCGAAGGCGGGUCUCUGG
rnacentral:rRNA from 1 species